UUUACCUGAAAAAUCGGCCUACUCUUAUCAUAGAACGAAAUAGAAGAUUCCUUUCGAGCUUGUUUCAUUUUUCUCGAAUUUAUUUUUUAAAAUAAAAAUCCUCUUUUGACUCCAAUUCCUUCUGCUAGGAAAUGAACUUUUCAGGUUAUGGAGUGUAUUAGUAAAAUUCAUCUCCAAGGAGACACUAAACAUUCUCGUUUUAACCGCCGCUGUUUGAUGAUGGAAAUUGCUCCGUCACAACUUAAGGUUAGUAUGUGUUUAUGAACAAUGGAUGGGUUGAUAUGGAAAGAUGGCGCAAAAUAAAAGAAUCUGUUAGCUACUAUUUCAAUGUAUGUAUGUGUUGCAAGAAACCCACUGGGACCAGAGAUCCCCAGUGUAACGCAAGUGCCUCAUCUAACGAAAGAGACUUCCACGUUAUAUUCAUCAAUGGGAAUCUUCCAUCAUGCCAACUGGUUCUCCAAAAGCAUCGCCCCGAACCCCAAUACAGAAGUUCUAUCUCCCCCAAGAAACGAAAAACGCCAUAAUAGAGGCCAUUAGCGCAAUUGAAAAAGAGUACGUCAAAACAUGAAGCAAAUGAUUUGAAAAUCAAUCACAGAUUACAAAUUCACGUGCUUGUGGGUGAAAAUGAAUCAAGUUUGUUGUGAGCUCGUUUGAAAUUGAAAUCUCUCACUGUAAAUACAAUGUUUAUUCUUGAGAUCUUGGCCUCUUGCUUCCUCCUUCCUACCUUAAGCUCCAGAAUUAAUAAAGUACCCUAGUGAGUUACAGAAUAAUUUUUUGGUGGGUAUGGUCCAGAUAGAUCAGCAAAAAAAAAAUUAAAAAAAUAAGAAUUGGCCAAACACCGAGUUUUUUGGUGAAAUGUAGUAAAAGGUAUCGCCUUUUCAAAACAGGGAAAAUAUGAUAUCGCCAUUUUCUUUUUAAAAAAAAGAAAAAAAGCUACAUUACAUUACCUGCAUGGGCGUAGCUAGGGGGGUCUGGGGGGCCUGGCCCCCCCCAGAAAUCUCGUGGCCCCCCCCCCCAGAAAAACGAGAUCCUCCAUUCCUCACCCCUCCCCCCGCUCUCUACAUCACAAGAGUUGGUCCCAUGGCCCUCCCCAGAGAAAUUUCCUAGCCACGCCCAUGAUUACCUGUAGCAGUAAAAUCAAUUUUACAACAGCACUAAUCAAUUUACACCUCCUUAUGUUAGACAAAUGAUAGUUAAUAUUUUGCAUAUAUAAUAUACUGCGCAAUUUAAACUUGUAGUGCUGAAAUUGUUGACUUUUCAAAUAUUUACAAUGAAUAUCGAAAGGGUUAAACCCUCAUUGUCUUUGAUUCUCCAAAAUGUUUCAUGAAGAAGAAAAAUAAUUCAGUGACUUAAUACUAUGUACUAACACGUGCAAACAUGAAUAUACAGGGUGAUCCAAAAGUCCCUUCCACCCCCUCUAACUUUUUACCUAAUUGAGAUAAAGAUUUGAAACUUGGGGGAUAUUCCUAGG
rnacentral:lncRNA from 1 species